GACGAACGCUGGCGGCGUGCUUAACACAUGCAAGUCGAGCGGAGCGGCGAACGGGUGAGUAACGCGUGAGUAACUGCCCCCCUCUCUGGGAUAACAGUUGGAAACGGCUGCUAAUAACGGAUAGUGGGGGAUGACUCGCGUAUUAUCAGCUUGUUGGUGGGGUAGUGGCCUACCAAGGCGACGACGGGUAGCCGGCCUGAGAGGGGGACCGGCCACAUUGGGCUGAGAUACGGACCAAACUCCAACGGGAGGCAGCGGUGGGGAAUAUUGCACAAUGGUGGAAACCCUGAUGCAGGACCGCCGCGUGCGGGAUGCCGGCCUUCGGGUUGUAAACCGCUUUCAGCCAUGACGCGGUAGUGGCAGAAGAAGCACCGGCUAACUACGUGCCAGCAGCCGCGGUAAUUC
rnacentral:rRNA from 1 species